rnacentral:lncRNA from 1 species
CUUUCCCUCAGUUCUGCUCAGUUCUGUGGCCCAACAUGAUUCAGCAGGAACUCUAGGACUGAGGAGGACGGUGUUCAUGGCAUUUGUCAGUUGGAAUGCAGCUGAAGCCACCCACGCUCGGCUAGCCUGUAUGAAGCAGCCAGCAAACAUUCAGUGUAGAGCACCCAAGACAUCUGGGAUUCGCUCACUCACAUCUCCAGCUUGCAUGGUCCUCUGAGGAAGACAUGAGAAAGCAGAAGAGGAAAAGAGGGUCAUGAGACAGAGAGAGAAGGGGACCCAGAGAAAUCCAGGGCUGGCUUCAGCGCAUUUGAGUUUUAACUUUGGAACAUUCUCCUAAGUCGUGAAUACUAAUUAUACUGAGUGUGUCAAAUUGUGUCCUGAUCUUGUAAGUCAAACAAAUGCUCCCAGAAGGUAGGUGGAGGCCACCAAACUCAUUUCAUUUAUAACGCAAGUUGAAUGUGAAGCUAGAACUUUGAGGGGGGGUGGAUAGACUUUGUGAGUUUAUUUAGUUUUAUGACAUGUGCUUUACACCUUCAACGCUACCUUGACAUAAAGGCGGCAAGCUUUCAUUUGAACAGUUAAUACGCUAUUAGGAAUAGCUAUAGCACUUAGUAGAAAUACUGAGAAUAAACAAGUUGUUUCG